rnacentral:lncRNA from 1 species
GGGCCAACCUAGGUUAGUUUCGAAACUUUUUGCCAUUUUUCUGUUCUUUCUUCUUCGUAUUCCGUUUGUUUAGCUCCCUCGAGAGCUUGUUCACUGUUUUUUUUUAUUUUAUUUUCGAGAUUUUUUGUGGCUUCUAUUUGAUCCAAAAUAUCUUCCGAUAUCUCCUCUUCUAGUGGUUCUAGGAGAUCGUCAGCCCCAGUUUCUCAGAGUCCUUGUACCGUAGAUGGACCCAUAGUCGGGACUGAACCUCGUCUGGUCUUUGCACCGGACACCAUCCCCAGCUCUUUGACUCUGGAUGAGC